UCUAGGAUGAUUCUAUAUCUCUGAAAUCAUGAUUAAAAGAGGAUCACAAAAUUGAGAUGAUUUUUAAAAUGGUAUUCUUUGGUUAAUUGAGAUAUAUGAAAAAAUGCAUGCAUGUGUAGUGGAUAUGGAUUUCGUAACCUUGGUACAGAAUAUGAGCAUGUUAGGAUGAGUUUUGAUUUAUAAAAGCCCAUGUGAGAUAUUUGAGCCAUGUCCCUUUUUCUUGGAGUGAUAAUUGAAAAAUAUAUUCUUAAUUUCUUGGCGAUGUUUUGAUGAUCUCAUUAUUCUUUCCUCUUGAUUGACUACUUGCCAUAGAUUAAGUUUGAUGGACUAGAGAAUGCUAGAAUUCACUCUUGUGCUUGUUGAAACGUUAUAUCAAUACAUGGCCCUGAUUCUGGAAAGGAUAGAGGCAACCUAGGAAUUACCACCAUUGCCAAAUAAGCAUGUGUCCCUAUUUGUGCCCGUCGUGGGACUCCCUUAGAUAAACCCCUUUGAGCUUACAUUAAGCCUUUUCUUUCAUCACCCUUAAAUCCUUAACCCUGAACCUUAGUAUAGCUACACUCCUACCCUUUGUUCUAAAAACUUAGCGGAGCUAUAUUUUGGGACUUUACUUGAGGAUUUGGCAUUGAGAAAGAAGAUUGAGAAGAGGUGAAAGUUCAAGUGUAGGGGUAGACUUGUCCAUAAAGAAAAAAAUAUGUGAAAGCCGUGAAAAAUGAAAAGAAAAGAAAAAAAAAAAUUGUGCACGGCUAGAAAAGAAAAGAAAAAAUGUAUAUGGAUUUUAGUCCUCCAUACUUGGUGAGUUUGGAGUUUGUUUUGAAUUGAAGACCCACUAUUGGAAAAUUUGGUCUUUGUCCAAUUCACUAGUUCGAGGGAAGUUUAGAGUGAAGAUUGGGCCUAACAUGAAGACAUUUGGCCCUUUCAUAAAACCUCUAUGGGAUGUGACGUUUUGAUAUAUCUUGGUGGAUUUCUAGAAGUCUCUACAUCUACAUGAGCUCUGCUAGGUUUUUAGGACACUUUGUGAAAUUCCUUACCUUUCGUUUCUUAAAACCUUGAGCCUUGGCCCCAUUACAACCCUAAAUAAGACCUUCUUGAUCCUUAAGAUGGGACAGCCUUUGAUUUGUGGAGAUGAGUUACAAGAGUUGAACCUAUGGCUUGGGUCCAUCCGUGCAAGAGAUUUCUGA
rnacentral:lncRNA from 1 species